rnacentral:rRNA from 1 species
UACGUAGGGGGCAAGCGUUGUCCGGAAUUAUUGGGCGUAAAGAGCGCGUAGGCGGUCCGGUAAGUCGGUUGUGAAAGUCGGGGGGCUCAACCCUCGGAUGCCGAUCGAUACUGUCGGGCUAGAGUCCGGAAGAGGCGAGUGGAAUUCCUGGUGUAGCGGUGAAAUGCGCAGAUAUCAGGAGGAACACCGAUGGCGAAGGCAGGUCUCUGGGCUGAAACUGACGCUCAUGCACGAAAGCGUGGGGAGCAAACAGG